GUGAUUUCCCUUCCCUAAUCCUAAACCCUCGUUUUCGUUUCCUGCUAUUUCCCUCUUUCAAAAUACAUACUGAAAAUAUUUCCCUACUUGCGGCCAUAAGAGAGAAAAUAAGUAAUUCAAAUAAUCUUAAUUCCAAUCUUGGCUCCUUAAAUGGCGAAGCGGGAGCUCUCCAGUACUUUGAGGGGCUUGAAGUUCAUGCAAAGGGCAGCUCAGAGAUAGGAGAAAGUGGUAAAGGAAGAAGAGGUUAAACCUGAAGGAAUUAGUAGUAUUACUAGAAAAUGUGUGGUCAUUAUGGAAGGAGAUCCUAGUCCAGGAGCAACUGUUGGGCGGAUGUCAUUUCGAAGUUUCAAUCCCUCUAUUGAUGCGCGUAUAAAGGUCAAGUGACCUAAGAAUUGUCUGAUGAUGUCUUUUCACUUAAUGUGGUUCUCUUGUUGCUCUUGUCCUCAUCUGAAUGCCUUGUCUGGUAGAAACUGAAUGAACCGUCAUCAAAUGAUUGUAGACCAGAUGCCAGUGGUGGAUGAGCUUCAUCAAGUGAAAAUGGAUCUGCAUCUGAAGCAACCGACUGCUCAAAAGUUGGCACUGAUAAACACACAGGUAAUGGAGACCUUAAGAGAAAACAGCCUGACAUGGUUUCUAAAUCAGCUUAUCCGAAUAAAUCAC